rnacentral:piRNA from 1 species
UACCAGAAUCCUUCCUGACAAGAGAAUC